ACAGCCUUACGAAGCUCCAAACACCAACGAAAUGGUGUCAUGGAAAUUCGUUCAACAUGGACAUCUCUUAGUAACCCAUUCAUAGUAACAAUGAUUGAUGAAUCAAGAGAGAUUCAAACCCGCCACUACAAAACAUUAAAAAAUAAAAAUUUAUUACUUAAAAAAAAAACAACUUUAUAUAAUAACAAAACUUUUACUCACCUUUGGGUUUCCGGACGCCAUUGCAACUGCAAAUAUUUCAUACAAAUACAUCAAUGGUGGAUUAAGGUUCAAAAAACACAAAAAAUAAUUAAAUAAAACAAAA
rnacentral:lncRNA from 1 species